UACGGGGGAUCCGAGCGUUAUCCGGAUUUAUUGGGUUUAAAGGGUGCGCAGGCGGAAUAUUAAGUCGGCGGUGAAAGUUUGCAGCUUAACUGUAAAAUUGCCGUUGAUACUGGUAUUCUUGAGUGUAUAUGAAGUAGGCGGAAUUUGUAGUGUAGCGGUGAAAUGCAUAGAUAUUACAAGGAACUCCAAUUGCGAAGGCAGCUUACUAAAUUACAACUGACGCUUAGGCACGAAGGCGUGGGUAUCAAACAGG
rnacentral:rRNA from 2 species